UGGACCAUUCUGGUGGGAAUUCUGAGAGAGUAGAGGACAAACUCAUGAGAAUUCACAGAGGAAUACAGAUGCUACUGAAAGCUGGACUAGGAGACAUUUAGGCUACACUCUGGCAAAGAAUCCAGAUAGUCUCAGCCCUUGUCUGAAGCUUGAGUGAAGUUGAAUUCAAAAGGAAUGCAUCAAUGGCAUGGUGGAGGCAAUCUCAAGGCAGGCUAGCCUUCAAGCUACUGCUCACUAUUCCUUUCCAGGUGCACAAUAAAAGACAGCAACAAAUGGAGCAAAAUGACAUUGGAGGAUGAAGGGCAAAGGAAGGUGAACAACAUGAAGCAGAUGAUGGAAUGGACCAAGACCCCCUGUAUUAGCUUGUGCCAUUGUGGUGAGGCAGCAAAAAGUGAAUUCCUUUGCUGGGAAGUGAUGCUGCUAGCUGUUCCAUGAUGGAGCCAAGAGUUUAGUGACCAAUCAUCCCGUAAUGUAUUCUCACUCUCUCUUGUAUUUAAAUACAACACAAGUGCUGUCAUCA